rnacentral:lncRNA from 1 species
UUUUUGUGUAAAAUAAAGUUUAACCGAGAGCAAAAAAAAAUAAAAAAGAUUUUUAAACAAAAUAAAACGCUUAAUUAAAAGUUAAAACAUUUAUAAAGCAAAUAUAUACUUUCUAUUCAAAAAGUUUGUGUUUCUAUAAAUACAAAAACCUCUAAUAAAUUCCCUUAUCCAUGAAAAUCAAACUAUUAAAAAAGUUUGUUCAAGCGUAAAGGACUUGAUGAUCUCACAGGCAUUACAGUGCCAUAAAUAAAAAAUAACCAACAGCCAUUACAUUUCUUUAUUCAUUAAUUUUCAUGAAUUGUACAUUUUAUACCACCCUCCUCAACCUUUAGACGUUUUAUAAAAAACUAUAAUCUACCAUAACAGUGCAUGUAACUUUAGUACCACGAAGGAGCCAAAAAUUAACAAAGCAUUAAAAAGGUUAGCUUAAAAAAUGGAUUCCCAAAAUAACUCUCUUUUCUUAAUACCAAAAUAACUCUCUUUUCUUAAUAUCAAAAUAACUCUCUUUUCUUAAUAUCAAAAUAACUCUCUUUUCUUAAUAUCAAAAUAACUCUCUUUUCUUAAUAUCAAAAUAACUCUCUUUUCUUAAUAUCAAAAUAACUCUCUUUUCUUAAUAUCAAAAUAACUCUCUUUUCUUAAUAUCAAAAUGUUUGUUUUUUUUUGCUUUUUUAUACUGUCGUAAGCCGGAUAGUUUAUUAACUACAAACGUAGUUUAACUGUGUUAAAUUACUAAAAUUUACACACAAAAUCUUAUUUUAAACUAAAAAAAGAAAUUGCAUACAAAACUUUGUAGGAUUAACCAAAUCGUUUGAGGCAAUAUUACGAUUAGACAAAACUUGCUGUUUAACUUUUUAAAUUAGUGUUUUUUAUUCUACCAAAAAACAGCAAUUAAACAACUUAGGUUUGCUUGUUUGUUGUCCCCCUUCGAAGACAACAACGACAGGACUUCGGCCCGGAAAUUUCGUUUAACGAGUAUGUGUCUUUCAAAGGGGGAACCUAA